rnacentral:lncRNA from 1 species
UCCUUAUUUUUUUUUGAAUCCUUUGGCUACUAGUCGAGCUUUAUAGACAUAUUUGUUUGUGUUCUUAUUCUUUUUGAUCUUGUAUACCUAUUUGGCUAAGAUGGAACUUUUAUCAAGUGGUAGAUUCAUUAGGUCCUAUAUGCCAUUUUUAAAUAUAGAAUCUAUCUCUUUGUUUGUAGCUCAUUUCCAUUUUGAAUUCUUCACUACUUCUUGAUAGUCUACUGGUUCUAAAUUCAUUUCUACAAUAUUAUUUUCUUAUAUACCAAUUUAUUGAUAAUGCAAACAGAAUAGGUAACCAUCUAAUUUUUUGAUUUUAAAGAUUUUAGUGGUCAUGAAGUAAGAGCUAUUUGUUUAGGUGAGGUUGGAAAAUUAUCUGUAGUUGGUUUUAAAUGGGAU